rnacentral:rRNA from 1 species
UACGAAGGGGGCUAGCGUUGCUCGGAAUCACUGGGCGUAAAGGGUGCGUAGGCGGGUCUUUAAGUCAGAGGUGAAAGCCUGGAGCUCAACUCCAGAACUGCCUUUGAUACUGAGGAUCUCGAGUUCGGGAGAGGUGAGUGGAACUGCGAGUGUAGAGGUGAAAUUCGUAGAUAUUCGCAAGAACACCAGUGGCGAAGGCGGAGCU